rnacentral:rRNA from 1 species
GACGAACGCUGGCGGCGGGCUUAACACAUGCAAGUCGAACGGAAAGGCUCUGCUUUUGUGGGGUGCUCGAGUGGCGAACGGGUGAGUAACACGUGCGUAUCCGGCCUUGACCUUGGGAAAACUUCCGGAAACCGGGGACAAUACCGGGUAGGAGGGCCUGCUGCCUGGGGGGGGGGGAGAGUUUGGGCGGGUGGGUGGGGAGUCGGGGCCUAUCAGCUUGUGGGUGGGGUAGGGGGUCAGCAAGGCUUUGUCGGGUAACCGGCCUGGGAGGGUGACCGGCUACAUUGGGACUGAGCUACGGCCCAGACUCGUACGCGAGGCAGCAGUGGAGAAUAUUGCACUAUGGGCGGAAGGCUGAUGCAGCACCGCCGCGUGCGGGAUGACGGCAUUCGGGUUGUAAACCGCUUUCGCCUGUGACGAAGCGUGAGUGACGGUAAUGGGUAAAGAAGCCCCGGCUAACUACGUG